rnacentral:lncRNA from 1 species
UGAAGUGUUGCAGCAUGUGUUCAACUUCACUAAGUUUCUGAUUAUCCUUAUAAAGACAUUGAAUCUCAACCAUUGUACUGUAAGGUCCACUAAACUCCUUAAGCCCUUGAACAUAAAACGGGUUAUCUAACUGCACGUCAAACGACGAUGAAUCUCUUCUAAACCCUGGACCCCACAUCAUAUCGGGGAGGUUUUUCGGUGAGAAAGAUGAUGAAGAUGACGUAGGAGACGAGAGACCAUUGUUAGUUAAUGUCGGGUCUGCAAGCUUGCAGUAUAUAGCCGACACGCACUUCACCAUAUCUUCGGAUACCUUAUUUGGUGUCAUGGGAAUAUGAUCGGUUAUUCUAGUACCGAGGUGUUCAGCUAGACUAGUUAUGUUUGAAGUCGUAUGAGCGUACCUCCAUCAUAGAUGGUGGUUGAGAGUGACAAGCGCGUAACGAUUUGCCAAAAACAGGUGAAGUUCUUGUUACCGAAUGUUGAAUACCAGAAGCUACAACUUCAUCUUCUUCAAAACAUCUAUUAGAGUUGUGUUGUAACGAGAUAUCGGCUCUAGAAGUUUCUAGAAUCUUUCCUCUUGGAGUAAUUAACCUUUG